AAUGAACGCUGGCGGCAGGCCUAACACAUGCAAGUCGAACGGAUCCUUCGGGUCUAGUGGCGCACGGGUGCGUAACGCGUGAGAAUCUGCCCUUUGGUUCGGAAUAACAGUUGGAAACGACUGCUAAUACCGGAUGAUGACGAAAGUCCAAAGAUUUAUCGCCAGAGGAUGAGCCCGCGUAGGAUUAGCUAGUUGGUGUGGUAAAGGCGCACCAAGGCGACGAUCCUUAGCUGGUCUGAGAGGAUGAUCAGCCACACUGGGACUGAGACACGGCCCAGACUCCUACGGGAGGCAGCAGUGGGGAAUAUUGGACAAUGGGCGAAAGCCUGAUCCAGCAAUGCCGCGUGAGUGAUGAAGGCCUUAGGGUUGUAAAGCUCUUUUACCCGGGAUGAUAAUGACAGUACCGGGAGAAUAAGCUCCGGCUAACUCCGUGCCAGCAGCCGCGGUAA
rnacentral:rRNA from 1 species